rnacentral:rRNA from 1 species
UACGGGGGGAGCAAGCGUUGUUCGGAUUUACUGGGCGUAAAGGGCGCGUAGGCGGCCUCUGCAAGUCGACUGUGAAAUCUCCGGGCUUAACCCGGAACGGUCAGCCGAUACUGCAGGGCUAGAGUGCAGAAGGGGCAACUGGAAUUCUCGGUGUAGCGGUGAAAUGCGUAGAUAUCAGGAGGAACACCGAUGGCGAAGGCAGGUCUCUGGGGCAUUAACUGACGCUGAGGAGCGAAAGCAUGG